rnacentral:tRNA from 1 species
GCCGCGGUGGUGUAACUGGUAGCCACAAGAGACUUAAAAUCUCUCGACUUCGGUCAUGCGGGUUCGACCCCCGCCCGCGGCA